rnacentral:lncRNA from 1 species
UUUUUUUUUUUUUUUUUUUUUUUUUUUUUUUUUUUAAUUAUUUAAGACCUUUAUUAACGGGUGCUUGCCGUUUGUUGACUUUUUUGAAAAAAUCAAGUUGUAAACUUUUAUUACAAAUUAAAAAUGAGGUUCUUAAAAAUCUCAACUUGACCAGAUAUGAAACAAUUUAAAAACCUUUAAAGGUGUAUUGAGAAAAACCAGGCUUUUUUUUUUUUUUUAAAAAAACACGUUUAUCAUUACCAAAAAGAGACGUCUUUAGGUAAAAAUAAUAAAAACCCCAUGCUGCAUAGAUAAUGCAGAUAGUUCUAUUUAUCUGGUCAAUGGGCAAAAAGCAAGCACUUAAGGUCUUCAGCUCCAAUCUUUUGUUCAUUUCUUAUUGCUGGAAUUUCAUCUUCAUUUCUUCAUGUUGGAUGACUAAACCGGAUGAUGGUAGAGAUGGUAAGCCGGCAUUUACUCAGCCCCGCCCUGCUCAGCCUCGGGAGCGGACGAAUUCUCAGCUGGUGGAUCGGCUGCUUUUGUCUCUUUGCCAUCUUGUGGUUUAGGGUUUUCUGGGCGUCUGCGUCGGUAAUUGAAGUUGCGGCGGUACCGACGUUGAGGUGGCUGCUGACCUUGGGUCUCAUCUCCUUGAUUUUCCUUAUUUUCCUCAUUUCCAUCCUCUCUAGGCUGUCUUUGGCGAGGAGGACCCCUACGGAAUCGUGGUCUAUAACCUCGAUACAUAUUCUGUCUCACUGGUCUACCUUGUUCUCCUGCACCCUGGUUGUCAGCACCUUCCAUCACUUCUCCCUGCACAGGAGGGUUGGAAUACUGUGGUCGACGCCCGUAGGGUCUCCGCAUGUAGUAAGGUGGGAACCGUCGCCUGCGGUAGGGCCGGCGCUGUUGGGCCUGGCCUUCGGGAGCACUUUCCGAUCCCUCGUUCUUUUCCCCACUCUCACUAUUUCUGGUAAUUCUGCUGGUAAUUGCGUGGAGGACCCCUGCGACGUGGAUAGCGUCUAUAAUGGUUACGGUCUGCUGCAUAUUUACUGCCUUGCACUGGAACUCCACCAGGGCCUGUAACAUUUGCUGCCUCCGCACCCUUUUCUCCUUCAACAACAUCAAACUCCACAGUCUCUCCAUCUCCUACACUGCGAAGGUACUUCCUGGGGUUAUUCUUCUUUAUGGCAGUCUGGUGUACAAAUACAUCUUCCUUGGUGUCAUUUCUGUUGAUGAAACCAUAUCCGUUUCUUACAUUGAACCAUUUUACUGUUCCCCAAAACCUUCGUUGCGAUGACCUUCUUGUCCCCGCCGGCAGGCGCCGCCGAUGUGAGGCCGCCCGGGCCGCCGCUCCCUGCGCCGCUGCCCGUGGUGCCGGGCUUGGUGUCGGCGGCGCUGAGGGCGGGGGCGGCGGGGGGGGCGGCGGGCGGCUGCUGGGUCUCGGCCUCGCUGCUCAUGGUUGCGGUGAUGGUGACUGGGGCCGGCUGCGGCAGCUGCGGCUCCUCCCGGGGUGUGAUGGUAACUAGGCCGGCGGCGGCGGUGGGGCUGCUCAGGGCUCUCUGGGGUCCGCUCUCCGCUCCCGCUACCGAUCG